rnacentral:rRNA from 1 species
AUGCCCUCUUCUCCAAGAAAGGACCGAGGAGGCACCAGCGUGGACAACAAACAAAUAUCGCAAGGAGAGGGGAAGCAAAAGCAGAGCCGUCGUCGCCUCCGAACCCCACACCGUCGCAUCUCAGUUCCAAUCCCUCCCGCCGCCGCCGCGCCGCGCCUCCCUCGGCCCCGCGGAUCGCGGCUCCGGUUCCGAGUCCCCUCUCCACCCCGCCCUCCGCGGGUUCGGUCUGGUCCGCCCUCGCGCGCGCGCCCCCUUGCGUGGGCGGGCUCUCCUGGGGUUUUGGCGGUGGGUGGCAUGCUCUCCGGCGACCUGGUGCGGUGAACCCGAUGCUGCGCCUACUGUCGGUUGGCGAGAGGCUGUUGACAACCGGAACAAAUAGGCGGGCAGCCCGUUUGUCCCAGUCGAGUCACGCCAGUGGUUACUACGCAACAGUGAGGGACAAUGGCUUGUCAACAAGGCGAAAUAUCCCACCCGUCUUCUCUAGAAUGUUCUCACAUUACAAGGACAUUGUCAGAAAGAAAGUUGAGGAUCACAACUAUAGAAAAAGGUUUUCCAGAGGCUAUGGUUCCCUCUCUGGGGCAGUGUCAAAUUCAUCCGCAAGACAACAAGGCCAAUUGACGUUGAAGCGGCCCAGUCAUAUCUACUCGUAUAGUGGUCCCCGAUUCCCGUUGCUGAGCCGAGCAGCCUGUGCGCUAACUCUGUCCUUAACGAGAUCACAUAUCAUCCCUGGGGUCGUGGCUUUAGCUUUUGGGAAGAUGGCAUUGUCGCAGCCUGUCCUGGCAGACUCACGGCCAUACAUGCCCAAAAUGGAAGGCAUUGUCAUGAGGACACGAGAUACUGGCGAGUUGCUGUCAGCCAUGGCUAGGUCAGUCUGGGAGGGUAUCACUUUGUUUAUAAGAGCAGUUCAUUUGGCAUUCCUGUUCUUCCCUGCAACUGCAUUAGCUCCAUUUGCUGAUAGUUUAAGUAUAGAAUUUAGAAGAAGGUGGCUUUCUCUUGUACGUCGUACCCUUGAAAAGGCGGGGCCAGCAUUCAUUAAGUGGGGUCAAUGGGCUGCAACUCGCCCUGAUCUUUUCCCAAGUGAUCUCUGUGUUGAGCUUGCAAAGCUUCACAGCGGAGCUCCGGUGCAUGGCUUUGCUUACAGCAAAGCUUCUAUUGAGAAGGCAUUUGGCCGUAAGCUAUCUGAAAUAUUUGAAACUUUUGAAGAGAAUCCUGUAGCUUCUGGAAGCAUUGCACAAAUACAUCGGGCCACAUUAAAAGAUCGUCCCGACUCGAACUUGACCAAAAAAAAGAAAAGAGAUCAACAUCCUGUAAAGCAUGUUGCAGUUAAGGUGAGGCAUCCUGGUGUGGGGGAAUCAAUCAAGAAGGACUUCUUACUCAUCAAUUUUAUGGCAAAAGUUUCGAAUGCCGUCCCUGGAUUGAGCUGGCUAAGGCUGGAUGAGAGCGUCCGCCAGUUUGCAGUUUUCAUGAUGUCUCAAGUUGACCUUUCUAGGGAAGCUUCUAAUUUGCAUCGUUUCAGACACAACUUCCGUAGAUGGAGACAUGUUUCAUUCCCAGAACCAUUGUACCCACUUGUCCAUCCAGCUGUCCUUAUCGAGUCAUUUGAGAAUGGAGAAAGUGUUGCCCGCUUUGUGGAUGAAACUGAAGGAAAUUCUCGGAUGAAGAAGGACCUUGCCCACAUUGGAACAUAUGCAUUCUUGAAGAUGCUUCUGGAGGACAAUUUUAUUCACGCGGAUAUGCACCCGGGAAACAUUCUUGUCCGUCUAAACGAGAGCAAGAAUAAGAGGAAAACGUUUUUCAGAUCUAAGCCCCAUAUUGUUUUUCUUGAUGUUGGCAUGACUGCUGAGCUCUCAGUAGCUGACCGUGAUAACUUAAAACAAUUCUUCAAGGCGGUUGCUAUCAGAGAUGGUCGUACGGCUGCUAAGUGUACGUUACGAUUAUCAGAAAACCAGAGCUGUCCAAAUCCAGCAGCCUUUACUGAGGAAUUGGAUAAGACAUUUACGUUCUGGGGAACACCGGAGGGAGACGUAUUUCAUCCUGUCGAAUGCAUGCAUCAAUUGCUCGACACAGUUCGUCGCCACAAAGUCAACAUUGAUGGCAACAUCUGUACUGUAAUGGUGACCAUUUUGGUUCUUGAGGGGUGGCAACGCAAGCUAGACCCACGCUUUGAUAUCAUGGAAACAUUGAAGACUCUACUGAUAGAGAAGGAAGUUAAACAACCACCACCUGAUUAUUUUGGAUAAGCCAUUUUUCAGUUGUCAGAGUACAAGGAUCAGAUUAUCCCAAACAUGGCAUCAGUGAAAGAUGACGACUGCAUGGGACAGAAGUUGGAAUGCCUAACUCGUGAAGCAAAUUAAAGUAACACUCAAUGCUGUUACGCACUUGUUCUGCCUCCUUUCUGAAAGUAGUAUUAGAUGCAACUUACUGGCACUGGGUACAGUUUGACAACCUUCAGUGCGAAAAUUUUGGCCGCCGCCUUGGGCUGAUUCAGUCACGGGGUUCUGUAAUCCAUCAAAUCUCUUUCUAGAUGUAGUUACAUGAUAACCAUCAUAAACUACGUUGCAGGGUAGUGUGAAUUUUUCUUCCAGGUUAAUCCUUCGUACUUGGCAGCUGUGCCGUCCGAUGUAAAGUUUGGAUUCGGAAGACCAUGGCUGUGAAUGUCUAAGCUAUAGUUUUUGCGUUUUCUGUGAAACCCAUAACUGGUGCAAUUUCGCCAACUUCAAUUGUGGAUUUUAUCGCCA